AUGAAUCCAUUGUUGCUGCUGUUCAUGUUUUUGCUCACUGCUAAUUGUGAGGCUGCAUGGCGUUCUACACAUGUUCAAAUCACCAACAAUCUGGACCCAAAUACCACAGAUCUGACCAUUCAUUGCAAGUCCGCGGACGACGAUCUAGGAGUUCAUGUACUUCACCAUCAAGAAUUCUACAGGUGGGAUUUCAAGAUAAACCUUUUCGGGGGCACACAGUUCUGGUGCAGCUUUCAAUGGCUUAACCAGUUUCAUUGGCUUGACGUUUUCAUAGAAGAGACGUUUAAUUGCAGGGACUGUAAAUGGAUUAUCAGCAAUGACGGUCCAAGCUUGUACAACAAGAUUACCGAAGUUUAUGAUCAUAAGAAAUGGAACGACCAGAAGAAACGCACAUAA
rnacentral:lncRNA from 1 species